rnacentral:rRNA from 1 species
CCUACGGGUGGCAGCAGUGGGGGAUAUUGCACAAUGGGCGCAAGCCUGAUGCAGCGACACCGCGUGAGCGAAGAAGUAUUUCGGUAUGUAAAGCUCUAUCAGCAGGGAAGAAAAUGACGGUACCUGACUAAGAAGCUCCGGCUAAAUACGUGCCAGCAGCCGCGGUAAUACGUAUGGAGCAAGCGUUAUCCGGAUUUACUGGGUGUAAAGGGAGCGUAGGCGGCCCUGUAAGUCAGAUGUGAAAUCCGGGGGCUCAACCCCCGAACUGCAUUUGAAACUGUUGGUCUUGAGUAUCGGAGAGGCAGGCGGAAUUCCUAGUGUAGCGGUGAAAUGCGUAGAUAUUAGGAGGAACACCAGUGGCGAAGGCGGCCUGCUGGACGACAACUGACGGUGAGGCGCGAAAGCGUGGGGAGCAAACAGGAUUAGAUACCCCUGUAGUC